rnacentral:rRNA from 1 species
AUUGAACGCUGGCGGAAUGCUUUACACAUGCAAGUCGAACGGCAGCACGGACUUCGGUCUGGCGGCGAGUGGCGAACGGGUGAGUAAUACAUCGGAACGUGCCCAAUCGUGGGGGAUAACGUAGCGAAAGCUACGCUAAUACCGCAUACGAUCUAAGGAUGAAAGCGGGGGAUCGCAAGACCUCGCGCGAUUGGAGCGGCCGAUGGCAGAUUAGGUAGUUGGUAGGGUAAAGGCCUACCAAGCCGACGAUCUGUAGCUGGUCUGAGAGGAUGAUCAGCCACACUGGGACUGAGACACGGCCCAGACUCCUACGGGAGGCAGCAGUGGGGAAUUUUGGACAAUGGACGCAAGUCUGAUCCAGCCAUUCCGCGUGCAGGAUGAAGGCCCUCGGGUUGUAAACUGCUUUUGUACAGAACGAAAAGGCUCUGGUUAAUACCUAGGGCCCAUGACGGUACUGUAAGAAUAAGCACCGGCUAACUACGUGCCAGCCGCCGCAGUAA